rnacentral:rRNA from 1 species
UACAGAGGUGGCAAGCGUUGUUCGGAAUUACUGGGCGUAAAGGGCGCGUAGGCGGUCAGGUCAGUCCCGUGUGAAAUCCCUCGGCUCAACUGAGGAACUGCACGGGAAACUGCCUGGCUUGAGUUCGGGAGAGGGAAGCGGAAUUCCAGGUGUAGCGGUGAAAUGCGUAGAUAUCUGGAGGAAUACCGGUGGCGAAGGCGGCAUCCUGGACCGGCAUUGACGCUGAGGAGCGAAAGCUAGGGGAGCAAACGGG